rnacentral:rRNA from 1 species
AGCUCCAAUAGCGUAUACUAAAGUUGUUGCAGUUAAAAAGCUCGUAGUUGAAUUUCUGGUCUCGAGACGCAGCCAGGCUCAAGGGCCGAUACUGCGGAUUGGGACCAUCCUCGAGAAGAACAUAUCUGUCAUUGAGUUGAUGGGUAUGGGACUCUCGUCUUUUACUGUGAGCAAAAUAGAGUGUUCAAAGCAGGCUUACGCCGUUGAAUACAUUAGCAUGGAAUAAUAAGAUAGGACUUUGGUCUAUUUUGUUGGUUAUACUCCAAAGUAAUGAUUAAUAGGGACAGUUGGGGGUAUUCGUAUUCAAUUGUCAGAGGUGAAAUUCUUGGAUUUAUGGAAGACGAACUACUGCGAAAGCAUUUACCAAGGAUGUUUUCA